rnacentral:rRNA from 1 species
AGUGUAGGCGGUUCGGUAAGUGGGAUGUGAAAUGCCCGGGCUCACCCCGGGACCUGCAUCCCAUACUGCUGAGCUUGAGUACAGGAGAGGGUGGGGAAUUCCUGGUGUAGCGGUGAAAUGCGUAGAUAUCAGGAGGAACACCGGUGGCGAAGGCGCCCACCUGGCCUGCUACUGACGCUGAUGCUCGAAAGCUAGGGAGCAAACG